CAACUUGGAAUUACCCCCUGUAUUAUAUUAAGACAGGACCCAUAAAUGUGAGACAACAGUACACUGAAUGCAAAGGGAAUGUGGACUAUGCUAUUGGGAUGCAGUCAGGAUGCCAGCUGUCAGAAUGCCAUGAGGCACCAUACCGAUGAGGCACGCAUGGUCUGUGUUCAGAAAAGGAGAGGAGGCGACGUAGAGGAGGAAUGAGACAGAAGCUGGAGAGAGCGAAUACAGGCAAAGAAAGAAAGAACAAAGAGAAAAGAGUAUUUCAUCAUCUGAAUAAAAGAGAAAGAGUAAUAAAGCCGGGGGGACUAGAAGAAGACAGCAAAUAAAGGGAAUACACUUUAGUUCAGAAAGUAGAAAAAAUCCACAAAUGCGUGAUGAAGGCAGGAGAUAACAAUAGCUAUUGUCUCUUAUGGGUAAUGGGAUUGAGUUCUAAAAAGAUGUGAGACAAUGUACAUAAGCAAUGACAUGCAUAUUAUGUACAGUGUAGCGGAUUGCGUUCUUACUUUACAGCCUCAGUAAUUCCAUUCUAGCUACAUGGUAAGCACUAUCCGGUAAAGAUUCUACUUAGACUGAAAUAAGAUGAAGACAGCAAACCUUCUGCAAUAAAUGCAAUGGCCUAAACCUGACCUUGUUCAUGUUCUUACUUUCAUCAAGGCAAC